GACGAACGCUGGCGGCGUGCUUAACACGUGCAAGUCGAACGGAGAGGCCCUGCUUGCAGGGUACUCGAGUGGCGAACGGGUGAGUAACACGUGGGUGAUCUGCCCUGCACUUCGGGAUAAGCCUGGGAAACUGGGUCUAAUACCGGAUAGGAGCCAUUUUUAGUGUGAUGGUUGGAAAGUUUUUUCGGUGUAGGAUGAGCUCGCGGCCUAUCAGCUUGUUGGUGGGGUAAUGGCCUACCAAGGCGGCGACGGGUAGCCGGCCUGAGAGGGUGGACGGCCACAUUGGGACUGAGAUACGGCCCAGACUCCUACGGGAGGCAGCAGUGGGGAAUAUUGCACAAUGGGCGCAAGCCUGAUGCAGCGACGCCGCGUGGGGGAUGACGGCCUUCGGGUUGUAAACUCCUUUCGCUAGGGACGAAGCUUUUUGUGACGGUACCUAGAUAAGAAGCACCGGCUAACUACGUG
rnacentral:rRNA from 1 species